UUUCUCUCCCUCUCUCUCUCUUGUGCAUGAAGAAGAACAGAUCACACAGACGCAAACUCUGUUUGUCUAUUUCUAUUCUCUUAUACGAAGAACUGAUUGAAGAUAGCAAGUUCGAAAUUCAAAAUACUCGAAAAGUGGUGGAAAGCUAAUUCCGAGAGGUUCAAGAUCCUUUCUCAGGUUGCACGUGAUGUUCUAUCCAUUCGGUGUCCACGGUUGCCUCUGAAUCUGCUUUUAGCACGGGAGGACGCAUCCUCGAUCCCUUCCGAAGUAAUCUAGCACCCAAGACAGUUGAGGCUCUAGUUUGUACUCAGAAUUGGUUGCGUUCUCCUGUUCGAAUUAAUAUUCGGGAUCAAUUAGAUGAACUGGAGAAAUUGGAUGAAGAGCUUACGGAAAUGGGUUCUUGCAUCACUGAUGAGUGACUCUAGAAAGGUAGAAAUAAGAAGUGGUAACUGUGGUGGUGCUGCUAGACUGCUGAUGCUGCAACUGUUGCUGUUGGGUUCCAUAGAGGACUUGGUAGCUCUUGUUUUGUUGGUGGCUCUUGUUUUUUGUGGGAACUUUUGUUGGUAUGUGUAAUUGUAAUCAAUAGGUAAACCCCAAGCAAAAUAUUUGAGUACUGAGAUGUCAAUUUAAGAACAGUGGGUAUGUUUUUUACGUAGUUGAUAUGUUUUAAGAACAGUGGGUUUAAGAAUAGUGAGUAUUGACUACUGAGAUGUGUUUUCAGUUUAUGUAUUUUAUUUUAGAAUC